GGUACGUACGCUCANACNGGGGGAUAACACUUAGAAAUAGGUGCUAAUACCGCAUAAGCGCACGGUCCUGCAUGGGACAGUGUGAAAAACUCCGGUGGUGCAAGAUGGACCCGCGUCUGAUUAGCUGGUUGGCGGGGUAAAGGCCCACCAAGGCGACGAUCAGUAGCCGGCCUGAGAGGGUGGACGGCCACAUUGGGACUGAGACACGGCCCAAACUCCUACGGAAGGCAGCAG
rnacentral:rRNA from 1 species